GGCGCAGGCGCGCUGCUGUCUUUCUCUCAAGCGUGAUGGCGGCGAGCGGCGUUGCCUCAGUAGCGACUCCUCUCCUGUCUCUGGACCCGGAGCGGCAGCGCGAGUUCCAGGCUGAGGUGCACCGGGUGCGCAAGGCGGCCUCCAAGAAUCCGAAGGUGAAACCUGGCGUCGUUUACGUGGGUCACCUCCCGAGGGGCCUCUACGAGUCUCAGCUCCAGGAGUACUUCAGCCAGUUUGGGACAGUGACUCGGGUCCGCCUUUCGAGGAGUAAAAAGACAGGAGGUAGCAAAGGUUAUGCUUUUGUGGAAUUUGAAUAUGAUGAAAUUGCAAAGAUAGCUGCAGAUACCAUGAACAAUUAUCUUGUCCGUGAAAAACUCUUGAAAUGUGAGUUUAUGCCAGCAGAAAAAGUACAUAAAAACCUCUUUAAAGGUUCUGAUCGAAAGUUCAGAAAGCCAUCCUAUCCAGCCGUAAAACGCUACAACCGGACUCGAACGGCACAGGAGGAAGAAAAGAUGGCCGAGAGGCUGUUGAAAAAAGAAAACAAAUUGCGAAAAAGGCUCGCUGAGAAAGGAAUAGAUUAUGAUUUCCCUGGAUUUAGUGCUCAGAUGCCUCCAAUAAAGAAAAAGAUGAUUUCAAAAUCGGAUACUAAUGAGGAUGCAUCCGUGGAUGAUGAAUCAUACCACAGCACUCGAUUGGUUCAAACCUCAUUGAAUUCAGUAUUUGAUGCGUUUUUGAAGCCGCAUAGUUGAUAUGCAAGGAAGAACUUGCUGUCGGCUGUCAUGUGACUUGCUAUUUCAGCUGAAAUAGCAGGUCACGUGGAUCCCACGCCAGUGUGUACACCAACAUUUUUUGCGCGCCGAAAAUCUCAGCUGGAAGAUAAAGAAAUAACUGAAGAAGAUGAAGAAAUAACUUUGAAAUUACCACCUACGAUUGCAAAGUCUACCCUGCAAAAAAACAAAACGGCAAAACUACAGAAAAAAACUGCAAAUAAAAAGUUUAAAUCUUAACACUUUA